rnacentral:lncRNA from 1 species
GGAAUGGUCCUACAUUCCUGUUGGAGGGUCCUUACCAAACACAGAUCAGAAAAACCUUGCAUUCGGUGCUGCAGCAAGUAUGGUGCAUCCUGCAACAGGUACAUACGAAUCAUCAAUUUUUUGCACACCAGUUUCCUCCUAGCUUAUAUUGACAACUUUUCACAAAAUACAUAGGGUACUCAGUGGUCAGAUCUUUGUCUGAGGCUCCAAGAUAUGCUUCUGUGAUAUCGGACAUCUUAGGAAAUCGAGUUCCUGCAGAAUAUAUGCUCGGAAAUUCACAAAAUUACAGUCCAUCAAUGCUUGGUAAGCAUUUUUCUGGUAUUUAUUCAAGUUGGUUGGUUCGGUUCUACUGUGUAAAGGUUCAGACAAGUUAGCGAAACUAUUAUAAUAUGAUGUUUCAGCAUGGAGAACACUGUGGCCUCAAGAGAGGAAACGCCAACGAUCCUUCUUCCUUUUCGGAUUAGCGUUGAUAAUCCAACUGAAUAAUGAAGGCAUACAAACAUUCUUCGAAGCCUUUUUCAGGGUGCCGAGAUGGUAGUCGCACUUUUUACCUUGUCUCAGUUGGUCUUCAGAGAAAUUCAGUGCGCUGAAGGCUACUACCUCCAUGAAGUUUUUGAUAACCACUAUUUUUCCUUGAACAGGAUGUGGCGAGGAUUUCUUGGCUCGACCCUUUCAUCCGUCGAUCUCAUACUAUUCUCAUUCUACAUGUUUGCGAUAGCUCCAAAUCAAUUGCGAAUGAACCUUGUCAGGCAUCUCCUCUCUGACCCAACUGGCUCAUCCAUGAUCAAGACCUACCUGACCUUAUAAAACCAUUUGCACCAGGCUGCAAGAACUCUUAGAAACUGUACAGUUUUGUAGUUGUACAUAAGUUAGAGAGGAUCUGGGGGGUUACUUGGCGGCGGAUCUAGGGGUUAGCAGCAAUGCUAUAAUACACUGUAAAUCUUUUAUGGUUGCUAUGGUGAUUGGAUAGAGAAGCACACCGUGUUGUGCACGAUGGAAGAAUAAUAAGAGAGAUCAGGUGAUGGUCAUGGUUCCUGCAUUGGCCAAUUUUAGGUUGCAUUUGCUGUUUCAAGGCUUCUUACAUGUCCAAUCAAUUACACCCUUAUUUUAGGUUGCUCAAUGCCAAUUUUCUUGUGGAACAAUAUUUGCAAAAGCAAAAAAGGGAAAAACAUAAUUGGAUGUGCAAGAAUAGUAUGAGGCUGUCCUUGCUCCUGCGCCAUGGCAUUUAGCUGCAAGAUGUUGGGGAAGGAGAAGACCUGUAGGAGACUAAGGUUGGAGGCAAGGGAGAGAAAGGAAGGAGGGCAGGAGGAGAGGCGGAACAACCCGUCUCCCUCCAUCUCUCUACCUUCUUCUCCUGCGCCCCUAUCCAUCGCUCGCACCACCCACUGACCGGCCGGCGGCAUCCUUAUUACCAUAACAUCACGGGACGGUGGCGCGAUGCAAGGAGGCCCACUGAGCCCGGAUGAGUACUGGGUGAUAUCGCCGCCGGCGCUGCUGCACCAGCCGGCGUCCACCAUCGUCGUGGCCAUCGACCGGGACCGGAACAGCCAACUGGCCGUGAAGUGGGUGGUGGACCACCUCCUCUCCGGCGCCUCUCAUAUCGUCCUGCUCCACGUGGCCGUCCAUUACCACACGACCCGUACGUCGUUCAUCUCCCGUACCCAUUUCGCCAGUGCAGCAGCAGCAGCUGAGCUCUGGUUUGCUUGGACAUGCGCAGAUGGGUUCGCCAUGGUUGAGACCACGCAGGGUGCGCUGGAGGCUGAAAUGAAGGAGAUCUUUGUCCCCUACAGAGGAUUCUUCAACCGGAAUGGGGUAAAUGUAAUAACAACAAUAAUGCAAAAAACAUCCAAAACGUAUCAAGAUGAUUAUAUUGUUGGUGAAAUCGUAUCGACGCUGCUGCUGCUAGCAGGUGGAAGUAUCCGAGGUAGUAUUGGAAGAGGCAGACGUGUCCAAAGCCAUUCUAGGUUACAUCACUGCAAACAAGAUCCAGAGCAUUGCGCUCGGCGGAGCCAACAGAAAUGCGUUCACCAAGUAUUCUUUUUUUUUCCCCAUCAUUUCUUUUUCGUCCAGAUUGCACCGUCUCAGCUCUCGCCUCGGGCAGGAAAUUCAAGAACGCGGACGUGCCGUCGACCCUGAUGAAGUGCGCUCCAGACUACUGCAACAUCUACGUCGUGGCCAAGGGCAAGUCCGUCAAUGUCAGGCUCGCCAAGUGCGGCGUCCCGCCGAUGCACACUGGCGCCGACAUCGCUUCGGACACCGACUCCCUCCGGGAAUCGGUGCUCUACAUGCGACGCGGCUCCAGGGGGCACCUGCCGCGGGUGACGCCUGACGCCUGGCGCUCCAUUGACGGGCGCACACCGCCGGAGCUAUCCACGCGGCCACUGUUCCGCGAGCGCUUGCUCUCGUCAUCGGCCACCACCAAGAACUUUGUCGUCCUGCCAGGAAAGGACAACUUCGAGACGUCCUCCCGCUCGGCGAGACACGACUCGUUAGGCGGCGACCUCGACUUCGGCCCGAGCACGCGCUUCUCCUACAUAGACUUGGGCGAGAACCUCGAUAUGUCCACCACUCUCCCCGCUCUGGAACCCAUGUCACCGGCCACCGGCGUGAGUCAUACGUUCAAUUCGUACUUGUUUGAUUUCUUGCUAUCCACCCUUGUCCCUUGCUGCUGACGGCUGACCUACGACAUGUGGCGCGGAUGCAGGCGCAGCGGGAUACCGAGGCCGAGAUGCGGCGGCUCCGGUUGGAGCUCAAGCAGACCAUGGACAUGUACAACGCGGCGUGCAAGGAGGCCAUCAACGCCAAGCAGCGGGCCAAGGAGAUGCAUAUGAUGAAGCUGGAGGAAGCGCGUCGGCUGGAGGAGGCCAGGAACGCCGAGGAGGCUGCUCUGGCAGUGGCCGAGAUGGAGAAGGCCAAGUGCCGCGCGGCCAUGGAGGCCGCCGAGGCGGCGCAGAGGCUGGCUGACCUGGAGGCGCAGCGGCGCCGCAACGCCGAGGUGCGCGCGCGCCGGGAGGCCGACGAGAAGGUGCGCGCUCUGGAUGCCAUUUCCAACCACGACUUCCGGUACCGCAAGUACCACAUCGACGAGAUCGAGAUGGCCACGGAGCGCUUCUCCGACGAGCUCAAAAUCGGCGAGGGCGGCUACGGCCCCGUCUACCGCGCCUCCCUCGACCACACCCCCGUCGCCAUCAAGGUGCUCCGGCCCGACGCGCACCAGGGGAGGAAGCAGUUCCUGCAGGAGGUGGAGGUGCUCAGCUGCAUCCGCCACCCCAACAUGGUGCUCCUCCUCGGCGCAUGCCCGGAGUACGGCUGUCUCGUGUACGAGUACAUGGACCACGGCAGCCUCGAGGACCGGCUGUUCCGUCGGGGCGGCACGCCGCCGCUCGCGUGGGCCCAGCGGUUCCGGAUCGCGGCGGAGAUCGCGACGGCGCUGCUGUUCCUGCACCAAACGAAGCCGGAGCCGCUGGUGCACCGGGACCUGAAGCCGGCCAACAUCCUGCUGGACCGCAACUACGUGAGCAAGAUCAGCGACGUCGGGCUGGCACGCCUGGUGCCGCCGUCGGUGGCGGACAACGUGACGCAGUACCGGCUGACGGCGACGGCGGGCACCUUCUGCUACAUCGACCCGGAGUACCAGCAGACGGGCAAGCUGGGCGUCAAGUCGGACAUCUACUCCCUCGGCGUGCUCCUGCUGCAGGUGGUCACCGCGCGGCCACCCAUGGGGCUCACGCAUCACGUCGAGAAGGCCAUCGACGCGGGCACCUUUGAGCAGAUGCUCGACAUCACCGUCAAGGACUGGCCCGUCGAGGAGGCGCUCGGCUACGCCAAGCUCGCGCUCAAGUGCACGGAGAUGCGGCGGAGGGACCGGCCGGACCUCGCCACAGUCAUACUGCCGGAGCUCAACCGGUUAAGGAACCUCGGCCACGCGUACGAGGCACGCAUGAGCGCCGCCAGGGCCAACGGUGGAAGUGGAGAGAGUGGUGCCCAGAUCAGCGGGGACUCGACAACGGUGGGUGGUUCAUGGGAAACGGCGGACAGCUAGCGGGCGGUCCGGUGAUCGGUGUGGCCGGUGGCCCGGAUGAGUCAGUUAGAGAGCGAGCUUUUUUUUUGAUACGGGGGAGUUAAAAAAUCCAAAAAUCUUGGUGUAUGUACAGUUCUGUCUAUGAGAAAUACUAACGCGUCUUGCAGUGCUGCUGCCUGCUGCCUCAUCCUUUUGAGGGUCGUCAUCCAUGAUCCAUUUUUUUAUUCUGUUGGCCCAACCUAGAAAUUACGAUUGCGUUAUAAUCGAUCAUCCUUUUUAUUUGUCGUGGUUUAGUUAAAAAAUAAACUAACGGCGACAAAUAUUCAAGAACAUAGGUAGUAUAGAUCUAGUCUCUUAUGAGAAUUAAGUUAUGUUUGGUAGAAUAUAUCUGAGAAGCUAGUGAAAAGAAACUUCUACUUAUUAUCAUUACCUAUUCUUAGAUUAUUUUAAGAAGCAGCUGAACCUAGGACUAGAUAUUAAACCAACUCAGCUCAAUCGAGUUCGAGUUGGCUCGUUUAGCUCGUAAGCGAGAGAGAAAAAUAAUAUAUAUUUGUUAGCUAGAAGGGGAAGGUUCCAGUCAAGAUUCCGGAGACAUCGUUACUGUUAGAGGUCCGGUGCACCAGCCGAGACUAGAUCUGAGCAAGAUUCAACAAGAGCUAGUUGGAGGUUUUGGCUAUAAAUAGCCCCUUAACGAGCAUCCUCUCUUCUCCAUGUCACCAAAGACACCAAAGUGUCACCUAGCACAUCAUUCCUACGUAUUAGAGAAACACACCAAAGUGAUCUGAGUGCAUAUUCUUGUGAGAUAGAGUUUGUGCUGCUGUGUGUGCUCGUGUUCUUGUUCUUUGGUGGUGUUCUUGUGCUCUUGCUACAUUCUACUCCUCCCUCUUGUUGUUCAUUGGAGUUUUAGCUCCCAUAAACUUGUGUAUGACUGCAAGAGACUCUGAUCUGUGGAGACUGUUGGGGGCCUUCGGCUUACGAAGGUCCUCAAAAACAGGAUUUAACAGUAUUUCUGGAGUUUAAUGUGUGAACAGGCAUCUUCGGACUCAAGUCGGUAUCAUAGCAGACCAGAAUAUUACGAAGGUUGAUACAGCGCCGAAGGUGUGAGCAGGAAAGCUUCGGCAUGAUAGCAACAAAAUGAAACCGACUUAAGGAUGAAAAGGCUAUUCAGACCUCGAUAGAUUACAAUAGAAUUAUUAUCAAAUGUAAAGGGCAUGAAUGUAAUUUUGCAUAGGCUGUGUCCUGUGCCUAUAAAUAGGUGGACAGUACCCCCGUACUGUUCACGCUGAUUUGGCAUUCGCUUUUGCGUCACGCUUGUACUUUUAUCCCCUUCAAGUCGAAGGUACAUUUGUAAUUCGACGUUAUUUCUGUUUACAUAUGAUAAUAGUAUAUAAUUGUUUAUGUUGUCCUUUAUAUUUCUUACAAUUCAUCCUUCGUCACUGCAUAGUAUAUUUAUGAAGGUACGCCCUUCAUGGCCUUCGUCCGAAAACCAUUAUGUCCUAAGGGGAAUAAUGCUUCGAAGGACGAAGGACUAAAUCGAUUAACAUUUUCUAUGUUGCCUUGUUCUUAACUCAUAGCAUUUAAGAACAAGUCCCCAACAGAGAUCCUUGUGAGGAGAAAGAGGAAGAAUUAUGGCCUCAAAUUGAUCAUUGGACCACUUGGGAAGGGUUGAGUGCAACCCUCGUUCUUUGAAAAACCACAACGUGGAUGUAGGUAAGUAUUUGAGGCUUAGCCAAACCAUGGUAAAAAUCGUGGUGUCUUGUGUGCUCUACUUCUCUACGAUUUGCUCUUCCUCCCUUACUCUAAGUUCUUGAUCUUCACUUGACUGGGAACUGUGUUGGUGCCCUUGACUAUGAUUGCUUCUGUCUUCACUUUGACUGGGAUUGUGAAUUGUCCUGACAUGCCUCGGAUGAAGCCUCCUCUGAAGCCCCUGGUCAUCUCAGAGCACAUGUAGGCUUCCUCCCUUCUUUGUCGGAAUUCAUUGUCGGCUCUGAUAUAUUCAUGCAUCUUUUGGAGAAGCUUCUACAGGGUUUGAGGGGGCUUUCUAGCAAACUAUUGUGCCAUUGGGCCUAGGCGAAGUUCCUUGAUCAUGGCAUCAAUGACGAUCUCAUUUGGCACUGUUGGUGCCUGGGCUCUGAGGCGCAAGAACCUUCGGACAUAUGCAUGCAGAUAUUCUUCGUGAUCCUGUGUGCACUAGAACAAAGUUUGAGCGGUCACUGGCUUCGUCUGAAAUCUUUGAAAGCUAGUGACUAACAUAUCCAUCAAUUUCUGCAUGAUGUGAUUGUUCCUGGCAUGAGAGAAGAAUAUCAGGUUUGAGCAACACUCCUGACUGCCAUGACAAAGGAUUUUUCCAUGACAGCCAUGUUGCCCCCAUAUGUUGAUAUGAUCGCCUCGUAACUCAUCAGAAACUGCUUCGGGUCUUAGUGGCCAUCAUACAUGGGUAGAUGAGUUGGCUUGUACGAAGGUGACCAUGGGACAACCUGCAACUCUGUAGCUAUGGGGGAAGCAUCAUCAAAAGCAAUGUUAUCAUGGUGAAAAUCAUCAUACCACAUGUCAUCAUGGCUGGGGCCUUCUUGACGAAGGUCUCUUUGUCGUGGUUUGUGCCCUUGCUCAGUAUCAUGUGCAAUAUGUCGCAUUUCCUCGGUUGCUUCAUCAAUCUUCUUUUGGAGCUCAGCCAACCGAAGCAUCUUUUCCCUUCUCUUUUCCACCUAUUGAUGGAUAGCUUCCAGGUUGCUGAUUUCUUGGUCUAGCUCUUCGUCUUGUACGGAGUUGGGCUAGUGGCAUUCCUCUUCUGGCUUCAGGCCUCCCUUAGAAGGAUCCCAUCUUGAUUGGUGCCCAGGGGAGCAAGGACAACCCCUGGCGCCGUUGUCUUCUUCGGCGGUAUGACGAAGGUGCUUGCAGAAUUCUCCUGACGAAGGUGGUCGUUGAGUUCACCGGAGGUGGGCGCCAAUGUUGGUCACUUGUUUUCGAUCACUAUACAUAAUAAAAAACAAGGCAACACGAUAUUAAUAAAGAUAGAUGAUCCUCGUCUUGAAGAAGUUGUACCUUCAGGAUAACUCCUUCGGCGACGAAGUUUAAGUGUUAGGUGAAUAAAUGAACAUACAAUGAAUAUAAAAGAGUUUGAAUAUUAUAACUCAAUUAAGAUAUCUUCAUGAUAUAUUCAUCCUUUCGUAAAUUAACAUUACAAUGGUACCUUUGGCACUUGUGGAAAGAAUUACAAUGAAGGUGUCUUGGAGAGAAAAUUACACAUCAAUUGUACAGUCCACCGUCCCCCGCUUUAUGCAGGCACUGUUCAUCGAAUUAUAAAAGGCGACUUUCUCGUAGUGCAAAACUAAAAGCACAUCUGAACCUGCUUUUAGCGGCUUUCAGAUGUAGUUUUGAAAGGGAAAUGUGCCUUUGGGUCAUUUCUAAGUAUUUUGGUGAUUUAGUGUCCAACACAAGUGCUUAAGUGUUGAUCUAUGCAAAGUGGUGGACAAAGUGCAAAUCAAGUCAAAAGGUAUGUUUCUAGACUUAGUAUAUUGUUUUAUGGACUGAUGUAUUGUGUCUAAGUGCUGGAAACAGGAGAAAUCAAAUUGGAAAAGAGAUGGCCUUGUUCAGCCAAAGUAUGCUCAGUCUGGGUGCACCAGACUGUCCGGUGCGCCAUAUUGGCUCAGGCGAACUUGCUGCUCUCGGAAAGAAAUUAACGGCGUACGGCUAAAAUUCACCGGACUGUCCGGUGAGCCAACGGUCGACCGGUCCAACGGUCGGCCGCGCGAUCCGCGCGGGACACGUGGCCGAGCCAAUGACUAGUAGGGGGCACCGGACUGUCCGGUGCGCCAACGGCUCUAAGGCUGCCAACGGUCGGCUUCGCCAAAUAAGGAAGGAAAUCCGCACCGGACAGUGUCCGGUGGUGCACCGGACUGUCUGGUGCGCCAGGCGACAUAAGGCAAGAAAUGCCUUCCUGGAAUGCUCUCAACGGCUCCUAGCUGUCUUGGGGCUAUAAAAGGGACCCCUAGGCGCAUGGAGGAGUACACCAAGCAUUCUCAAAGCAUUCCUAAGCACUAAGACAUCGAUUCCGCGCUUUUGAUUCCUUGCGAUAGCAAUUAGAGCUCUAGUUGAGUUGUGAACUCAUUGAGUCGUGUUGUGAGCUCUUGUUGCGACUUGUGUGCGUGGUGUUGCUGUGAUUUCUUGUCUUGAGUGUGUGGCUCAUCCCUCACUUACUCCGUGCUUCUUUGUGAAUUUCAAGUGUAAGGGCGAGAGGCUCCAAAGUGUGGAGAUUCCUCGCAAACGGGAUAUAGUAAAGCAAGCAAAACACUGUGGUAUUCAAGUGGGUCUUUGGACCACUUGAGAUGGGUUGAGUGCAACCCUCGUCCGUUGGGACGCCACAACGUGGAGUAGGCAAGCGUUGGUCUUGGCCGAACCACGGGAUAAACCACUGUGCCAUCUCUGUGAUUGAUCUCUUAUGGUUAUUGUGUUUUGUUGAGACUCCUCUCUAGCCACUUGGCAUUAUUGUGCUAACGCCUAAUCAAGUUUUUGUGGAUUAAGUUUCAAGUUUCACAGGAUCACCUAUUCAAGACGGCGCUAAAGGGUCACAAGGGGCAGCCAAGCAAGACCAAGACAAAGGGGAAGCGCUCAUGCUUCAAGUGUGGUAAGAUUGGUCAUUUUAUCGCUAACUGCCCCGAUAAUGAUAGUGACCAGGAACAGGGGAACAAGAGGGAGAAGAAGAAGGCAUACAAAAAGGCUAAGGGCGAGGCACACCUUGGCAAAGAAUGGGACUCGGAUUGUUCGUCAUCCGACUCCGACAAUGAAGGACUCACCGCCACCGCCUUCAACAAGUCAUCUCUCUUCCCCAACGAGCAUCACACAUGCCUCAUGGCGAAGGAGAAGAAGGUAUGUACUCGAAACAAUGCCACUUAUGAUUCUUCUAGUGAUGAUGAGUCCAGUGAUGAAGAAAUAGAUUACUCUAGUUUGUUCAAGGGAUUGGAUAGAACUAAAAUAGAUAAGAUUAAUGAAUUGAUUGAUGCCUUGAAUGAAAAGGAUAGACUUUUAGAGAAACAAGAGGACCUUUUAUAUGAAGAACAUGAUAAAUUUGUAGAGGCACAAAAAUCUCAUGCUUUAGAAGUUAAACGAAAUGAAAUGCUUGCUUGUGAACUAUCUACUUGCCAUGAGACACUUUCUAGCUUAAGGAGCAUAAAUGAUGAUUUGAAAGCUAAGUUAGAAAUAGCUAGUAAAUCAACAUCUUGUGUAGAAAAUGUUGUAACUUGCAAUAGGUGUAAAGAUUUUGAUAUUGAUGCUUGUAGCAAACACCUAGCUUCAAUUUCUAAAUUAAAUGAUGAAGUGGCUAGUCUUAAUGCACAACUUAAGACUAGCAAAAGUGAAUUUGAUAAGUUAAAAUUUGCAAGGGAUGCCUACACGAUUGGUAGACACCCCUCAAUUAAGGAUGGACUUGGCUUCAAGAGGGAAGCCAAGAACUUAACAAGCCAUAAGGCUCCCAUCUCCGCCAAGGAGAAAGGGAAGGCCCCUAUGGCUAGUAGUGCUAAAAAGAUCCAUGCUUUCAUGUAUCAUGAUAGGAGAUAUUCUAGAAAUGCCUAUAGAAGUUAUGAUACUUAUGAUUCAUAUGCUAUGACUGCUUCUAGUUCCCAUGUUGUGCAUGAUAGAGAUAUGUCAAGGAGAAAUGUUGUUCAUCAUAUGCCUAGGAGAAAUGUUGUUCCUAGGAAAAUUAAUGAACCUUCUACAAUAUAUCAUGCUUGCAAUGCCUCCUUUGCUAUUUGUAGAAAGGAUAAGAAGGUAAUUGCUAGGAAAUUAGGGGCAAGAUGCAAGGGAGAUAAAACUUGCAUUUGGGUCCCUAAAACCAUUGUGACUAACCUUGUAGGACCCAACAAGAGUUGGGUACCUAAAACCCAAGCCUAAAUUUGCCUUGCAGGUUUAUGCAUCCGGGGGUUCAAGCUGGAUUAUCGACAGCGGAUGCACAAACCACAUGACGGGGGAGAAGAAGAUGUUCACCUCCUACGUCAAGAACAAGGAUCCCCAAGAUUCAAUCAUAUUCGGUGAUGGGAACCAAGGCAAGGUGAAAGGCUUAGGCAAGAUUGCAAUCUCAAAUGAGCACUCUAUUUCUAAUGUGUUUUUAGUUGAGUCACUUGGAUAUAAUUUGUUAUCUGUUAGUCAAUUAUGCAAUAUGGGAUAUAAUUGUUUAUUCACAAAUAUAGAUGUGUCUGUCUUUAGAAGGUGUGAUGGUUCACUAGCUUUUAAGGGUGUACUAGACGACGAACUUUAUUUAGUUGAUUUUGCAAAAGAGGAGGCCGGUCUAGAUGCAUGCUUAAUUGCUAAGACUUGCAUGGGCUGGCUGUGGCAUCGCCGUUUAGCACAUGUGGGGAUGAAGAACCUUCACAAGCUUCUAAAGGGAGAACACGUGAUAGGUUUAACUAACGUGCAUUUCGAAAAAGAUAGACCUUGUGCAGCUUGUCAAGCAGGUAAACAAGUGGGAGGAGUGCAUCACAGCAAGAAUGUGAUGACCACAUCAAGACCCCUGGAGCUGCUACAUAUGGACCUCUUCGGACCCGUCGCCUAUCUAAGCAUAGGAGGAAGUAAGUAUGGUCUAGUUAUUGUUGAUGACUUUUCCCGCUUCACUUGGGUGUUCUUUUUGCAGGAUAAGUCUGAAACUCAAGGGACCCUCAAACGCUUCCUAAGGAGAGCUCAAAAUGAGUUUGAGCUCAAGGUGAAGAAGAUAAGAAGCGACAACGGGUCCGAGUUCAAGAACCUUCAAGUGGAGGAGUACCUUGAGGAGGAAGGGAUCAAGCACGAGUUCUCCGCUCCCUACACACCACAACAAAAUGGUGUGGUAGAGAGGAAGAACAGGACGCUAAUCGAUAUGGCGAGGACAAUGCUUGGAGAGUUCAAGACCCCCGAGCGCUUUUGGUCAGAAGCCGUGAACACGGCUUGCCACGCCAUCAACCGGGUCUACCUUCAUCGCCUCCUCAAGAAGACUUCGUAUGAGCUACUAACCGGUAACAAACCCAAUGUUUCGUAUUUCCGAGUUUUUGGGAGUAAAUGCUACAUUCUAGUGAAGAAGGGUAGAAAUUCUAAAUUUGCUCCCAAAGCCGUAGAAGGGUUUUUGUUAGGUUAUGACUCAAAUACAAAGGCGUAUAGGGUCUUCAACAAAUCAUUGGUUGAAGUCUCUAGCGACAUUGUAUUUGAUGAGACUAAUGGCUCUCCAAGAGAGCAAGUUGUUGAUCUUGAUGAUGUAGAUGAAGAAGACGUUCCAACGGCCGCAAUGCGCACCAUGGCGAUUGGAGAUGUGAGGCCAAUGGAACAAAAGGAGCAAGAUCAACCUUCUUCCUCAACAAUGGUGCAUCCCCCAACUCAAGAAGAUGAACAGGUUCAUCAAGAGGAGGCCUGUGAUCAAGGGGGAGCACAAGAUGAUCAAUUAAUGGAGGAAGAAGCACAACCGACACCUCCAACUCAAGUCCGAGCGAUAAUUCAAAGGGAUCAUCCCGUCGACCAAAUUUUGGGUGACAUUAGCAAGGGAGUAACUACUCGAUCUCGAUUAGUUAAUUUUUGUGAGCAUUACUCCUUUGUCUCUUCUAUUGAGCCUUUCAGGGUAGAGGAGGCCUUGCUAGAUCCGGACUGGGUGUUAGCCAUGCAAGAGGAGCUCAACAACUUCAAAAGAAAUGAAGUUUGGACACUGGUGCCUCGUCCCAAGCAAAAUGUUGUGGGAACCAAGUGGGUGUUCCGCAACAAACAAGACGAGCACGGAGUGGUGACAAGGAACAAGGCACGACUUGUGGCAAAAGGUUAUGCCCAAGUCACAGGUUUGGACUUUGAGGAGACUUUUGCUCCUGUGGCUAGGCUAGAGUCCAUUCGUAUUUUGCUAGCAUAUGUCGCUCACCAUUCUUUCAGGUUGUUCCAAAUGGAUGUGAAGAGCGCUUUCCUCAACGGGCCAAUCAAGGAGGAGGUGUACGUGGAGCAACCCCCUGGCUUCGAGGAUGAGCGGUACCCCGACCACGUGUGUAAGCUUUCUAAGGCGCUCUAUGGACUUAAGCAAGCCCCAAGAGCAUGGUAUGAAUGCCUUAGAGACUUUUUAAUUGCUAAUGCUUUCAAGGUUGGGAAAGCCGAUCCAACUCUUUUUACUAAGACAUGUGAUGGUGAUCUUUUUGUAUGCCAAAUCUAUGUCGAUGACAUAAUAUUUGGUUAUACUAACCAAAAGUUUUGUGAAGAGUUUAGCAGGGUGAUGACUCAAAAGUUUGAGAUGUCAAUGAUGGGCGAGUUAAGCUAUUUCCUUGGGUUCCAAGUGAGGCAACUCAAGGAUGGGACCUUCAUCUCCCAAACGAAGUACACGCAAGACUUGAUCAAGCGUUUUGGGAUGAAGGACGCCAAGCCCGCAAAGACUCCAAUGGGAACCGACGGACACACCGACCUCAACAAAGGAGGUAAGUCCGUUGAUCAAAAGGCAUACCGGUCUAUGAUAGGGUCUUUACUUUAUUUAUGUGCUAGUAGACCGGAUAUUAUGCUUAGCGUAUGCAUGUGUGCUAGAUUUCAAUCCGAUCCAAGGGAAUAUCACUUAGUGGCGGUGAAGCGAAUUCUUAGAUAUUUAGUCGCUACGCCUUGCUUCGGGAUCUGGUAUCCAAAGGGGUCUACCUUUGACUUAAUUAGAUAUUCAGACUCCAACUAUGCUGGAUGUAAGGUCGAUAGGAAGAGUACAUCGGGGACGUGCCAAUUCUUAGGAAGGUCCCUGGUGUCUUGGAGUUCUAAGAAACAAACCUCCGUUGCCCUAUCCACCGCUGAGGCCAAGUACGUUGCCGCAGGACAGUGUUGCGCGCAACUACUUUGGAUGAGGCAAACCCUCCGGGACUUUGGCUACAAUCUGAGCAAAGUCCCACUCCUAUGUGAUAAUGAGAGUGCUAUCUGCAUGACGGAUAAUCCUGUUGAACACAGCCGCACAAAGCACAUAGACAUCCGGCAUCACUUUUUGAGAGACCACCAGCAAAAGGGAGAUAUCGAAGUGUUUCAUGUUAGCUCCGAGAACCAGCUAGCCGAUAUCUUUACCAAGCCUUUAGAUGAGCAGACCUUUUGCAAGUUGCGUAGUGAGCUAAAUGUCUUAGAUUCGUGGAACUUGGAUUGAUUUAUAGCAUACAUGUGUUUUAUGCCUUGAUCAUGUUCCUUAAGCAUUUUGUUGUUUAUUUAUGGUGCUCAAGUUGCACAAACACUCCCCGGACCUCACAAGUCCACUUGCAAGUGAUGCACAUAUUUAGGGGGAGAUGUGUUACAACUUGACCCCUUGAGACUAACCAUGUGCUUGAGUUUGCUUGAUUUAGUCUCGAAGGAGGAUUGAAUGGGAAAAGGUGGACUUGGACCAUGCAAGACUUCCACUGACCCCUUGAGACUAACCAUGUGCUUGAGUUUGCUUGAUUUAGUCUCGAAGGAGGAUUGAAAGGGAAAAGGUGGACUUGGACCAUGCAAGACUUCCACUGCACUCCAAUGAAAGGGUAACCUAUUCCAAGUUCAUCUCUUAUACUCUCAUUGCCUUCUUACUCUUAGUUGAAGAUUUUGGUGAGGCAAUGGGGUUAGAGGGCCAAGAUUGAUCCCGUUUUGGUGCUUGAUGCCAAAGGGGGAGAAAAUAAGGCCAAAGCAAUAAAUGGAUCAGCUAUCACUUGAGAAAUUUUUGAAAAUAGUAGAAUAGAGCUUUUUGAUUUGUCAAAACUCUCUUGUUGUCUCUUUUGUCAAAAGUUGGUCUCUUGUGGGGAGAAGGCUUAAUCAUGGGAAAAAGGGGGAGUUUUUGAAUCCUUGAUCAAUUUCUCGUGAAACAACUCUCAUUAUGGUUCAACAUGUGUGUUUGACUUAGAGAUAGGAAAUUGAGUUUGAUUUGCAAAAACAAACCAAGUGGUGGCAAAGAGUGACCCAUAUAUGUCAAAUUUGAAUCAAAACAAUUUUGAGUUCUUAUUUGAAUUGAUUUUGCACUUGUUCUACUUGCUUUAUGUUGUGUUGGCAUAAAUCACCAAAAAGGGGGAGAUUGAAAGGGAAAUGUGUCUUUGGGUCAUUUCUAAGUAUUUUGGUGAUUUAGUGUCCAACACAAGUGCCUAAGUGUUGAUCUAUGCAAAGUGGUGGACAAAGUGCAAAUCAAGUCAAAAGGUAUGUUUCUAGACUUAGUACAUUGUUUUAUGGACUGAUGUAUUGUGUCUAAGUGCUGGAAACAGGAGAAAUCAUAUUGGAAAAGAGAUGGCCUUGUUCAGCCAAAGUAUGCUCAGUCUGGGUGCACCGGACUGUCCGGUGGUGCACCGGACAGUGUCCGGUGCGCCAUACUGGCUCAGACGAACUUGCUGCUCUCGGGAAGAAAUUAACGGCGUACGGCUAAAAUUCACCGGACUGUCUGGUGUGCACCGGACUGUCCGGUGAGCCAACGGUCGGCCGCGCGAUCCGCGCGGGACACGUGGCCGAGCCAACGGCUAGUAGGGGGCACCGGACUGUCCGGGGUGCACCGGACAACGGCUCUAAGGCUGCCAACGGUCGGCUUCGCCAAAUAAGGAAGGAAAUCCGCACCGGACUGUCCGGUGCGCCAGGCGACAGAAGGCAAGAAAUGCCUUCCUGGAAUGCUCUCAACGGCUCCUAGCUGUCUUGAGGCUAUAAAAGGGACCCCUAGACGCAUGGAGGAGUACACCAAGCAUUCUCAAAGCAUUCCUAAGCACUAAGACAUCGAUUCCGCGCUUUUGAUUCCUUGCGAUAACAAUUAGAGCUCUAGUUGAGUUGUGAACUCAUUGAGUCGUGUUGUGAGCUCUUGUUGCGACUUGUGUGCGUGGUGUUGCUGUGAUUUCUUGUCUUGAGUGUGUGGCUCAUCCCUCCCUUACUCUGUGUUUCUUUGUGAAUUUCAAGUGUAAGGGCGAGAGGCUCCAAAGUGUGGAGAUUCCUCGCAAACGGGAUAUAGUAAAGCAAGCAAAACACUGUGGUAUUCAAGUGGGUCUUUGGACCACUUGAGAGGGGUUGAGUGCAACCCUCGUCCGUUGGGAUGCCACAACGUGGAGUAGGCAAGCGUUGGUCUUGGCCGAACCACGGGAUAAACCACUGUGCCAUCUCUGUGAUUGAUCUCUUGUGGUUAUUGUGUUUUGUUGAGACUCCUCUCUAGCCACUUGACAUUAUUGUGCUAACGCCUAAUCAAGUUUUUGUGGAUUAAGUUUCAAGUUUCACAGGAUCACCUAUUCACCCCCUCUAGGUGCUCUCAAGUUUGUAUGUGUAUCUAUAUUCAUUAUCAUUUGAUUGAAUAUGGACAGAAAAAAGGCUUAGAAAGAACUAUAUUUUGGAAGAGAGAAAUUAUUUAAUAUGGUCUUAGAAUUUACUUGAUUUAUUUAAAUAAAAUAUAGAUGAAGCUUAUAUGUACUCACUCUAUAUGUAAAAGAAUACAGUUCUCGCAUUUCGAAAAACUAACUAAUCAGGUUUAAAUUGAAUAAAGUUACAAGUACAAUAAAAAAGCAUGGUACAAAAUAAAUCUUAUUAAAUUACUUGCAUAAUAUAUUUUUAAUAAAUUACUUUAUAUGCAUAAAUAUAUUAAUUAGUCAUAAUAAACCUAGUUAAAUUUAAACUGGUUUAGCUAACACGGAUACCACGCAUCUGUAUUGUUUCAGGGACUUCAACGAGCAAGUAGAGACAUAGGGGUUGUUUGGUUCAGCUUUUUUCUGACCAGCUUUUCUGAAAAUCUGGCUGUGGGGAGAAUCUGGCUGUAGGGAGAAUCUGAGUAUCAUUACGAUUACGUGUGGAGGAAGAUAAAGUUGUUCAUAGAGCUCAGGAUCUAGAAAGUGACGGAUUCCUACUAUUACAACGACUCAACCGAUUAUGUGUUUAUGUUGAUUUUAGAUGGUUUUUGUCCUAACGAAUUUUAUAAAAGCUGGCUGAAAAGCUGAGCGUUUGACAGUCUGCAGCAGCUUUUGGUGGCCAGAAGCUGGCAGAAGCUGAAACAAACAGGCACAUAGGGCCUGUUUGGUUCAGCUUUUUUCUGACCAGCUUUUCUGAAAAUCUGGCUGUGGUGAGAAUCUAGCUGUGAGGAGAAUCUGAGUAUCAUUACGAUUACGUGUGGAUUAAGAUAAAGUUGUUCAUAGGACUCAGGAUCUAGAAAGUGACGAAUUCCUACUAUUACAACGACUCAACCGAUUAUGUGUUUAUGUUGAUUUUGGAUGGUUUUUGUCCUAACGAAUUUUAUAGAAGCUGACUGAAAAGCUGAGCGUUUGGCAGUCUGCAGCAGCUUUUGGUGGCCAGAAGCUGCCAGAAGCCGAAACAAACAAGGCCAUAGUAUUGUUUCAUGGACUUGAGCCGAGCGAGCAAGUAGUACGGCACUACAGUAUCCAUGUCCCACGGCACGGACGAUGAUUAGAUUCUCGUUUGCGGCCUGGCCGGCCCUACGCGCUCUGACCAGUUUCCCGGUGGGUUGAUGUGCACUGAAACUGCUGCUGCAGCGUGACGACCGGCCCGGCAGCUCAUCAAUUCAAUACUGGCGCUCUGGCAGUGGCAGUGGCAGUGGCAGUGGCAGCUCAGAUUUGCCGAAGCCCAAAACGAAACCAGACGACCAGACCCAGUCCCCCAAAACGUCGCAGGCAACACAACAACAAAAGGUUUGGCAAUCCUCGCAUUCCAAGUCGGAUUCUCGGAGACUCGGACACGAGCUUGCUUGCCGCGACAGCCACACGCGGUGCAGCUUGCUGCCAUGGCUCAUCGGCCUCUUGGACUGCUCCACCUGCGCAGACAUAUCCGUGGCUCAUUUUGGCUUUGAAAAAUAAUCAUUUGUUUUAGGAGGGCUGACUUCAUUCGACGUUCCAAACGUACCCUAAAUUAGUUCGAUGGUUAGAAGCACGGGAGCAGAUCGAACACCGUUACACCGCCCCUUCAUUAUUGGAGAAAGCAAAUCAGGAGUACCUCGCUGCUGCUGCUUCGUCGGAGAUCAUAGAUAGAUGCCGGAAACCGAAAUCCCAUGAGGCGGCAGCACCUGCGCCACGGCGGACAAAACAAACUCCAAGUCACAUAAUGUGCAAUGUAUGUAUACCUAACCACUAAAUCCCGGAAAAAGGCUGUGUUGACGGCGCCGGCGCGGAGAACCGGCAACAAGUAGCACCUGUUUUUGCGCUGCUACAGUAGAGAGAAAUGUGAGGUCAUGUAUGUAUAUCUUCUUUGGUCAGUAUUAUUAUUAUUGACAAAAUCUGUACUAACUAUUAAGGAGCUAUUGUAGACUGCCCCGCCGCACUCAAUGCCCCCGCUACCGCACGACUGCUAGCCCCCGCGAAACCCGCCGCAGCCGAACGCCCCCACGCCCGCCUCCACCGCCGCACAUCUCGCACGCCCGCACGCCCGCUGCCGCGAAACCCUCCGCUACCGCACCGCCCACACGCCACGAAAUCCGCCGCCGCCCGCGCAUCUCGCACGCCCUCAAGCCUGCACACCCGUUGCCGCGAAACCCUCCGUCUCCCCUCUGCGCGUGGCACUUCCCCCUGAGACGCAGCGAUAGAGUGACCAACAAAAGGCGAAGACGCCUGCGAUGCCGUCACAGGAGGGCCUCCAAACGGGGAAGGGCCUGGGACACCACCCGGGGGGGGACACCUAACGGCGGCGACGGCUGAGACGACGCAGCUGGAGACCCUCCGAACGGUGCGGCGGCGCCCGCACGAACGACGGUGUGGGCAGGCUGCCAGGGAAGGCGGGACGGGCAACAGACGGUGGAGUGCCCGGACGCGCGGCUAAGGUGGGCGGCGCGGCCGCGCCGUGAGAGAUCUUAAGGUUGACGAAGCACCGGAGAGAGCCCCCACCCCAGAGCCUGGUGGCCCCUGGCUUGAGCCUUGCGCGGUAGGGUUUGCGCGGCGAACGACGACGGCCGCUGCAGAGACGACGCCAUGGAUCGCAGCGAGAUCGAGAUCUGGCGCGCGGUGGCAGGCGGCCAGGCGGGGGAGGAAAAGCGGUCGGGUGCUCUGCUCCUGUUACAACAUGGAUCGUUUCGUGCGCUGUCGGGUCUGGCCCGCCUACUCUGCCCCGCGAGCAAGCCGCCGCCACCUCCCUUCACCCUUCGCUUCUAGCAUCGGCGUAUUAGCGACCGAAAGCUUGUCUCUUCUACCCUCCUCCGACUUCUGGGACCACCAAAUGGACCUCCUUGACGGCGUGGAGCCACCCCGUUGAUCUACGUGUGCGCUGUCUCUGAGGCUUCUUCAGCGCCGAGGACGAUAGGUACUGCAGCGUUUCUGGCUUAUUGUUUUUUAUUGCUAUGGUUUCUAGCUUCCAGUGGAGACUUAUGCUGAAUGUAUUAAUAUUUCUAGCAUGGCAAGAAAUGUUUCUUAAUGGUUGCUAAAUCAAUGGGAAACGAAAGGUCAAUGUUGCAUCUUCUGUAUUAGCUGAAUUGAUACUAACAAUCACUCAUUUAUUCAGAACUUCUGUUGGUAAUAUUAUAUGAGUAAUUGUUUGCUAACUGCUCUGACCUUGGCGACGACGUGCUCCUCGUUGACCUCUACUCGCUGCUUGCCCACAACUAUGUCGAGGACGACGAUAACAUGUUCCACUUUCAACUACUCCUUGGGCUUCCUUCGCUAGGCGCUCAAGCCACUGUCCUUCAUCCAAGCCUGGCACAUCGACGUCCAUUGAGAUAUUUCAUUCUUUUUAUUACAUGAUCUUACAUUGUUUCUGGACAACACUACAUAGAUUUCGUGAAGAUAUAGGAUGGUUGCAAAGAACUCGACAUUACUUUGUUCCGUUGAUGGGACAAGUUGCUUCAAGGAGAUUUUGCAUGAGAUCAAGUGAAUUUUUUGUGCCCGUCUUUAGUGAACUCUGACAAAACAAACCAACCUAUCUUUGUGAUGGUUUUUACUGUCUUGUAGCCCCAUAGCCUCAUUGCCUCAUUUGAUCUAAACAGCUAUCAUGAUCUAUGUUGUUCGUUGUCUUUUUGCUAAGGUGAAGUGGAAAAGUAUCUUUUGGUCGUAGCUAGGAGCACAAGGUUGUCAUAAUCAUCAAAUAAGGUUUCAAGUAUAUCUUCACGAAAACAUUAUGUUUUUUCAUGUACUAAACUUAGAGCAGAAAAAUGUGAGGUAAUUGAUUUCCUUCGACACUCACAUAGUUCUCAUUACACAAGUAUCAGUUUUUAACUUGAUUCGUUGGUGUACCCCUUUACCUAAAACAUUGCUUGUUGAUAUUAUCGGGAUGGUCUCAAUUUUACAAGAACUAAGCUGAUUGUAGAUGAUAGUGCUGAAUUUCUAGAUGCAGUUUAACUCAUUGAUGAUAGUCUUGUUGAAAGUUUCCUUUCUUCUGUACAUAGAGCCAUUCUGGUUUGUGAUUGAACUGGUGCACAUGUUUACUUGCGAGCUUGUUGGAUUCUAUAUGACAUUUCUUUUUUACUUUGCAUUAGAUAGCUUGAGAUGGACAAUCAGUAUCCUUGGUUCUUGGUUACUGGUAUUUGGUAGAGAUGCCUCUGCUUAUCUAAGGAGCAUAUUGUCAGAAUUAUAUGAAUUUAAAAUGUUUCCUUGUUUUGCUUAAUUGGUCUAGAUAUUAAAAAGACCAAUAAUUGGACCAUGCAACAGAACCAUAAAUAUGAUCACAGGGCCAUACAAACUCAUUCGACAGUGUGAAGUGACUGCAAUUCUUAUAUUGUACGAGCUGCCAAGGUGAUUUCUUUCUUAUUAUUUAACACACUAAUUACAAUUGAUUUAGUUUCCCUUCGACGAACAUUGAUUCUACUACCAAUCCGUCAGAAUGCUUGCACGUUUUAAUUUUCAUUUAUUUAAUUGCAUGUAGGCUGCUAACUGGCUCGAUUCUAGCUCAUGAGAUGGUGCAUGCUUACCUCCGACUUACAGGUAUUCUGGUUGUGCUUGUUUAUCUUCGUCUGCAACUUCCACUUCAUUCUUCGAUACCAUUAUAUGUUUGCAGUACAACAAUAUUUACUAUCUUAAUGUCUUUUUUAGGGGUAGGAUACUGAACCCUAAGUCCAGAGGUUGAAGAAGGUAACUCUCAGGUUCUAGCUCAUCUUUGGCUUGAGUCAGAAAUCACAUUAGGUUCUGGUAGCAUGUCAACAACCUCAGAUGCGUCGUCGUCAUCUUCUACAUCUUCCUCAAUGAAAAAGGGUGCAAAGACGGAAUUCGAAAAAAGACUUGGCGAGUUCUUCAAGCACCAAAUCGAAACAGAUUCUUCUGUGGCUUAUGGAGAUGGGUUUCGAGCACUACACGUUGUAAGCAUGUGGUCGACCCUAUUCGACUGCUUGCAUCUGUCAAUUCUGAUCGCAAUGGCGCAACUAUAAGACGAGGUUGUUGUCCAGUUUGCCUUUUCUCAGUUCAAGAAGAUCCUUCCCAAUGCAGUUAAACAUCAUGUGAACUUAUAUAACCAUCGUUAUCUUUACCAAAUUCUUUUUCAUUUUGUUUAAAAGAUAAAACCAUCAGGGCUAUGGAUGCACUCCACGCUUCACAAGUUCACAUGAUGUUUAACAUGAUCAUAUCCCUUUGACCAUUAUUUUUUUCAUGCUUGCUUAAGUAUUAGCAUGUUGCCAGACAUUAGAUAUCCUUGGAAGUACUAAAUGGAGGGUGAAUAGAAGAGUUCAUGAUGUUGUUGAGACUAUCUUGAGUCAAGGUGGAGGCUUUUGCAGGGCUGGUGGACAAGGCAAAUGUGAGUUCCUGCGUAUGAUUAAUAUUUUUGGAUCUUGAUAUUUGUACUCUAUUUUCUUUCCCAUUCUGUUCAUUCCACUCGCUUACCUUUUUGAACAUAUUGUCUAUUUAUUCUUAUUUUUUAUAGAUUCCUUUGCCUGAACGAACAGAAUUAGAGGACCCUGAUGAAAUGCAGAAAUGGAAGUGGAGUUUAAAGAAGGCAAAGAAAACUAACCGUGAGCUGCAUGCUGAGAGAUGUGACAGUGAGCUCAAACUCUUGGUAUGCAGCAUAAAUAAUUACUGUUCAUUCUUGCUGAGAUACUGUGGUGCAGUUUAUAUGCUAUUGCUUUGCUGGAAUUAUACUUGUUUCUUUUCUGUAAACAUGUUGCUCGUAAAUUGAGAGAGAAGGAUGGAUUUUAUUACCCUCACAAUUUAGAUUUCCGUGGGCGUGCAUACCCUAUGCAUCCUCAUUUAAGUCACCUAGGUUCAGAUCUUUGUCGGGGUGUUCUAGAGUAUGCUGAAGGGCGGCCACUAGGAAAGUAUGGGUUGUGCUGGUUGAAGAUACACUUGGCUAACAAAUAUGGUGGUGGCAUUGAAAAGCUUUCUCACGAGGGCAAGCUAGCUUUUGUGGAGAACCAACUGUUUGAUAUAUUUGAUUCAGCAUCAAAUCCUGUUGAUGGGAACUGCUGGUGGACGAAUGUUGAGGAUCCCUUUCAGUGUUUAGCUGCAUGCAUGGACCUUUCUGAUGCCUUAAGAAGUCCAUCACCUUACCAUGCUGUCUCUCACCUGCCUAUUCAUCAGGUAUUGAUUUUUUGCAUGUCCUAGGACUGGCCUUUCACAAUAUUAUUUUUCUUGGCUUCGAAAAUGAGACAUACAAUCUAGGAUUUUAGUAUUAAUUAAUCACUUCUGGUGUGGAUAAGUUGAAGGAUAUUGUAGUCCAUUUUAGAGUUAAUGUCAUAUGCCUAGAAAGUGCAUUUGUUGAUGCUCUGAGCAACUGCAUAGCCUACAUUUCAUUUCAAUGCUAAUUUGUUGGUUAUCAUUGUUUUUGUUGUCAGGAUGGUUCAUGCAAUGGUUUACAACAUUAUGCCGCUCUUGGAAGGGACUAUGUAAGUGUGUUCAACUUUAGAAUUCUGUUCAGCUUUUCAUCCUUUUAUUAUUAUGCACCUCAUGAUGUGGUUUAGGGUUUGGUCGGGUCGUAGUUUUUCUCUUCCUUAUAAGUUUGGUUUCCUUUUGGGUCUUGGUUUUAGAUUUUUCUAUCCUACCUUCUUUGUGGAGGAUAGUUUUUUUUGUACGGGGCUCUCCCCCCAUUUUCUAAGCCUAUGGUUAGCCGAUCUUGUAUAUGGCCGUGUAAAACACAGUUUUACACUAUAGACUGCAUUGUUUAUAGAGUGAAAUUUGAAAUAGGAGAUGAGGAUGAGUAAAAUGCUAGAGAUAGCCCUAAUAUAAAGAUUACCUAGCUCUCCUAUGUGUUCGAGAAAAAACUCAUGAUGUGGUUUGAGAAGAAUUAGCACUUGUGCUUAUCUAUUGUCAUACAGUCUGAUUUCCCCAACAUGCAACAGCAUCCUGAAAAUCACAGGAGUAAAAAGGACUUAAUUUUUAGUUUCACUAUUAAUUUAUCUUUAUUUUUCUUAGUUAUAAAUAGCUGGCAUUGGAUCUUCUGUUUUCCUUUAAGAAUUCUUGAAAGCAGUAAGUGAACUGAUUUCUGCAAGAAUUUUUCAAGUGAGAGCAUUAAGUUUGUUGUCAUCCUGUUAGUUUAAGAAUUGAUAAGCAUAUUGACUGCCUUAAAAUCUUCAUAUGUGCAUGGUUGAUAUAAUGAUGAUGCUAUUCAAUGUGCUAGAGUCAGCCUUGAAAUUUGUCAAUCCAUUUUCUCCAGUAUUAUCUGGAUUGUACCUUUUGAAACCUCAGCUUACAAAGGUCUCAUUUUCUCGUGAUUUCAUGAAAUUCUAAAAUUGGUGGUAGGUUUUGUAACACAAAGGAAUUACAACUUUUGGUGUUACAACAAUAUAUAUGAUUUCCCCAUUUGCGUUAUAAUUUGAGGAACCAAACAGCACGUAAAGUGCAAUUACCCAGAUAUACACUACAGAUAAGUUGUUUCUUACACUAAUAUAUGCUCUCGUAUAGAUGGGAGCGGUUGCUGCAACCUUGUUCCCGGAGAGAAACCCGCAAAUAUCUACUCAGAAAUAGCUUCUAGGUGAGUUUCUUCCUGCUGGUUCCCUUGUUGCUCCUGUCACAACUCACAUCUCUUAUAAGCACUACAGUCCAGGGUGACUGCUUGUUAAUUUUGCGUGUUUAUUAGUUAUUGAUGUACUUUGAAUAUGUACACCUUACAAAACGUUUUUGUUUUUUUUAAUGUGACAGCAGAAGCUAUGCCUUUCAAUUAAGAAUGGUAGAAUUGGUCUAGAUGUACGUAAAUUACAAUUUGUUUUAUUUAUAUAUAUUUUUUUUCAUGUAUUACCUAACACUGUCUAUAUAUACAUAAAUUAUCAUACUGUUAUAUGUUCCCGUUGCAACGCACGAUCACACCUAGUUAAGAUGAAGCGUGGCCAACCUAGGAAAUAAAAAAAGUAGACGGUACGCUGUUUUACCCCACUGACAUGCCAGACCCCACAGCUAUAUGCUCGCGGUCACGGCUGAGUGGCUUUGACCCGGGCUGCUCCGCUCGGUUCGGGGGCCGCCAGCCCGCCACGCUAUUAUCACCGCCACUCCACUCAGCUCCGUUCAGGAGGUCAGCUGCCUGCGCCCCAGCCCCAUUCGGCCAUUCCAUUCCUUUCCGAGCCCUCACACCUGCACGCGCCCACGCACCCGCACCAAGAACCACGCGCGGGCCUGUCCCUGUCGCAGCUCACACGCGCAACGGGGGGCGCGCCGCGCAGGCGAUGGUCUCCGCCCGCCUCGUCGCGCUGGCCGCCUUCCACCUCCUCGUCCUCUUGGCCAUGGGCCCGGGCGAGGCGCGCGCGGCGGACGGCGGCGAGGUGCGCGCGCUGCUGGCGCUGGGGGCCGCGCUGGACCCGACGGGCCGCCUGCUCCCGUCGUGGGCGCCCGGCCGCGACCCCUGCGCGCCGCCGCCGUCCGGGGGCUUCGAUGGCGUCGCGUGCGACGACAGCGGCGCCGUCGCCAACGUCUCGCUUCAGGGGAAGGGGCUCGCCGGCACGCUCCCGCCCGCCGUCGCCGGGCUCCGCUCCCUCACGGGCCUCUACCUCCACUACAACGCGCUCCGCGGUGGCAUCCCGCGGGAGCUGGCGGCGCUCGCCGCGCUCACCGACCUCUACCUCGAUGUCAACAACUUCUCGGGGCCCGUCCCGCCGGAGAUCGGCGCCAUGGCAUCACUGCAAGGUACACAACUCUGCCUCUCUCGCUAGCUCAGAUUGCCAGAUCCUGCUCGUGCCGCACGCUCGCUGACUCGCAUCGCCAUGCAUGUGACCAUGCCGUAGACUUGGCUCUGCAUUGCUCCUUGGGUCGAUGAUUGGUUUGCCCCCCUGUGUUUUUAAUUCCUUGCCGGUCGACUUGCUUGGCGUUUCUCCACUCCAAGUCAAAAACUAAAAUGCGGCUUUACCUAACUACCAUACGGAGUACCCUUUGGAUUUUUUUUUCUUUCUGAAGAUGUUGCCGUCGCAACUCGCAAGUGGCAACUAAAACAGGCAACUCCUGCUGCUCAGAUUGCAACAUUGUGAACAUUUCCUUCUUUGAUUCUUUGUUGCCCCACUAUACUACUCAUUCAGUCACACCAAAUUAGUACUACCCCCAAUCAGACGGUUUGGUAAUGCUGCUGAUGUUGGUACUCCGAUCCAAAUGUUUGUAGCCACAACCGCUAGCCGGUACUACUGCUUGUCCUUGCUUUGCAUCUCCAUCUCCUGCCUGAUUCUGAAUGAAUGCUGCUGAUGUUGAUAUGUCCAUGGCGGUGCAGUGGUGCAGCUCUGCUACAACCAGCUCACUGGGAGCAUCCCCACCCAGCUGGGCAACCUCAGCAGGCUCACCGUGCUGGCCCUGCAGUCCAACCGCCUCAACGGCGCCAUCCCCGCCAGCCUCGGCGACCUGCCGCUGCUUGCGCGCCUGGAUCUCAGCUUCAACCGCCUCUUCGGCUCCAUCCCCGUCAGGCUCGCGCAGCUGCCCAGCCUUGUCGCGCUCGACGUCAGGAACAACUCACUCACUGGCAGCGUGCCCGCCGGUAAAGACUCCAUCCAUUUGUCUGCGUCGACCGAUUUUUGAGAGCGAUAAUAAAGCUGACUGGUUUCCUGCUUGCUGCGUCCCAAGAACUGGCCGCCAAGUUGCAGGCCGGCUUCCAGUACGGGAAUAACAGCGACCUGUGCGGCGCGGGGCUGCCCGCGCUCCGUCCGUGCACCCCGGCGGACCUCAUCGACCCGGACAGGCCGCAGCCCUUCAGCGCUGGCAUCGCGCCGCAGGUCAGGCCCUCCGACGGGCGCGCGCCAUCUACCAGGGCGCUCGCGGCAGUGGUCGUCGUCGCCGUGGCCCUCCUCGCGGCCACGGGGGUCGGCCUUCUCGCGCUCUCAUGGCGUCGGUGGCGCCGACAGAGGGUCGCGGGGGGAUCGCCGUCGACGGUCUCCGGCGGCCGGUGCAGCACCGAGGCUGCGCCGUCCGCGGCGAAGGCGUCGUCGGCUCGCAAGAGCGCGUCGUCGGCGCUGGCGAGCCUCGAGUACUCCAACGCCUGGGACCCGCUGGCCGACGCGCGCGGCGGGCUGGGCCUCUUCUCGCAGGACGCGCUGGCACAGAGCCUCCGCAUCAGCACGGAGGAGGUGGAGUCCGCGACGCGCUACUUCUCGGAGCUCAACCUCCUCGGGAGGCGCGGCAAGAAGGCCGGCGGCCUGGCGGGCACGUACAGGGGCACGCUCCGCGACGGCACCUCCGUGGCCGUGAAGCGGCUGGGCAAGACGUGCUGCCGCCAGGAGGAGGCCGACUUCCUGAGCGGGCUGAGGCUGCUCGCGGAGCUCCGCCACGACAAUGUGGUCGCGCUGAGGGGGUUCUGCUGCUCCAGGGCGCGCGGGGAGUGCUUCCUCGUCUACGACUUCGUGCCCAACGGCAGCCUGUCGCAGUUCCUCGACGUCGACGCCGACAACGCCGGCGGCGGCAGCGGCCGUGUCCUCCAGUGGUCCACGAGGAUCUCCAUCAUCAAGGGCAUCGCCAAAGGUAGGUACCCCGAGUGGAAAAGCACAUCCUGUCACUCUCUUGCUAUCAGUUGGUUAGCAGUGAGUGUCACUACUGAUCCCCCACUAGUGGUUUGCUGAUGCCCACAUUUUCCCCUGGAUUCACACGUACUGUGCAUACUUGUUCACAUGGUAUGCGCAUGCAAGCAUUUGGCACAUUGAUUCACUCAAUCACUGGAUGGAUAGUACAUCGAUUCAUCCGUGCUGCGCUGGUCGCUCACAUGGGUGUGCGAAACCCUGUGACUGUGCAGCAGGCAGGGACGCAGCAAUAUUCACAUUCUGAAGUCUGAACACUGUAUGCACUGAAAAGCUCUCUGCAUGACAUGUCUCAAAAACCUUUUGGUGCUACUUCUAUCAGAGUAACCGUUUCUAUCAGUGUGCUGUGAGAUACCGGUAAUUUUUAGCUCUUGCGCAACCGUCUAAAUCGUGCAUCCUUUUUUUUUUGUGUGUGUGUUCCAGGAAUUGAGUAUCUGCACAGCACAAGGACGAACAAGCCGGCCCUCGUCCACCAAAACAUCUCAGCGGACAAGGUCCUGCUGGACUACGCGUACAGGCCCCUCAUCUCCGGGUGCGGCCUGCACAAGCUCCUCGUGGACGACCUCGUCUUCUCGACGCUCAAAGCCAGCGCCGCCAUGGGGUACCUGGCGCCGGAGUACACCACCGUGGGCCGCUUCUCGGAGAAGAGCGACGUGUACGCGUUCGGGGUCAUCGUGUUCCAGGUGCUCACCGGCAAGAGCAAGGUGACGACGACGCAUGCGCAGCUGCCUGACAACGACGUCGAUGAGCUCGUCGACGGCAACCUGCAGGGGGAUAAUUACUCGGCGGCCGAGGCCGCCCAGCUGGCGAAGAUCGGCUCGGCUUGCACCAGCGAGAACCCGGACCAGAGGCCGACGAUGGCGGAGCUGCUCCAAGAACUGAGCACCGUCUGAAAUCUAAUGGAGGUCCAACAAUCAUCCGCUGUAACUGUUUCAUGCAAGAGUCACAUGCCUUUUGUAACCUAGCUACGUACGUACCCUGUCUAGGAUCACCAGUCAGUAAUCGCUGAUCUUAGAAAGAAUCUGAGCUAGUAGGCUCUACUAGUUAGCUAGUAAUCGCUGAUCUUAGGAAGCACAUGUGCCCAUGAUCAUGAGAUCUUGUAUGCUAAUGAUGUGUCGUUACCACCGCUUUUGAAAAGUGUGCAUUGUUUGGAUGUGCUCUAGUACAUGGUAGUAAUGUGAAUGCAGCCAUUUCCUGCAACACUAUUUUUUUCUUUCCUGGAGGCCUUGUGACCGCAAGGGUACCUGCAACCCUCUGUGCCAAAUUUGGCUGCAUCUCGGGCCUGGGGUGAAAUGCAUGGCUAGCACCAUCCCAGGGAGGAAGGAGCCAAGAGUCCUGGAAGGCAUGUGAGCUAUAGAUUGUUGUGUUGUCUUGUUUGUUGUUCGUGUUUGGGUCCUGGCUUGUGAUCGCGCACAGGGGGCAGUCAGGCGAUGGUAUCUGACAGAGGGUGAAAGCGCACGGGCACGGUGGUCCUAGCUGGGCUUCAUUUGCUAGAGGCCGAGAGGCGGGACAAAAUAGACUCUACCGAGCAAUAGAAUACUAAAAUUAUAGCAGUGAAGAACAAGAACGCAGCUGAUCCAAAAGAACGCCACCCAAGGUGAGGCUGCCUUGCUAUGUGACACUGCUUAUUUUGUGGGAUAGUGGAUUCUGAAAUGGGGUAUUUGGAGCUAGCAUAGCAAGGUUCAUAUGCUAGCCGCAGGUCUACAAAACCAGGUCAUGCGGCACUAGUAAUGCACUGGCGUACGUCUCUACAGAACCUAGGCAAUUUACCUAGAUAAAUUCAUAGAAUCAUGGUAAUGUAGCAACUAAAAAGCACCAAAUAAAUAAUCCCAUAGUUUGUAAAGUUGGUUGGAUAGAUCUUAUGUUCUUGUGCUCAUGCAUCCACCUAUUUGGAAUCCUAAGAGCUAAUAGUUGAUCAGCUAACACGUGUAGAAAAGAGCUCUAAGCUAGCAGUACACAUAAAUUUUUACUGGCGGUAUCAGUUACCGCGCGACAGUGAAAAUAAAUAGGUGGGGCGGGCUUAAGGAACCGUCAGUAGAAACAUAUUUCCACUUGCGGUUUACUUAACACAACCGCAAGUGGAAAGAGGUUAUUUCCACUGCUGGUUGAUAUAAAAAGAACCGUCAGUAAAAAUAACAUUUUCAUUGGCGGUUCCUUAAGCCAACCGCCAGUAGAAAUAGCUUAUUUCAACUGGCGGUUGUGUUAAGUGAAUGAUCAAUGCAAACUUAUUUCCACUGCGGUUUUUUAACACAACCGCCAGGAAGCUUUAUGUUAUAAAUACACCUUCUUCCUCUCGACAGAAACUGUAGGUCGCACCCAACUUGCAUUGGAGGCGAUUUUGGAGGUCUAGAUUUCACAUAAUACAAGGGGGCAUGUGCCACAAUUCAGUUGAAUUACCAACACAACCGUCAAACAGUGCAAAAUACCUAUGGGCACAAUACAUUACAUACACACAUUCAUCUAACUACUACAAAGCUAGUCCGUACUAGAGAGUACUCAGUACCACAAUACAUUAUAACACAAAUCAGAUUCAUCUAACUACUUCAUUACAUCCACUGAGGAACAUCACACUUACCCACACUUGUUGAAUCACAAAAUCCAAAAUAGCUCCAUUUCGGAUUCCUUUGUUAAUAAUCUAUGUACAGUUAAAAAAUUGUUAGUAAUUUGUGCAAACCCAAAUACGAAAAUGAAACAAACUUAACUUCACUAACACUACUACAUGUUGACUACAUCAACGAUACUCCAGCAGCGAUCCAAUCUCUCACUAAUGUCAUUUCUUGACGUGCAUUACCAGUCACCCAAUCUGACACAUCGUAAUCAACUUGGCCAUACGAACUACUCCCCGAUCAUUCUAUGUGGACUCGGUACAACAAAUAGUUGUGCAAAGCAAAACAAGCAAUUACAAUAUUCACUUGCCUGCUUCUUUCGUACAUUGGGAGUCCUCGUAGCACAUGCCACCUUGAUUUGAGAAGUCCAGAAGCCCGUUCAACUACAUUUCGUAGACUCGAGUGGUGGAAAUUGAACUUUUCCUCCACAACUUCUACUCCUCUUCGAUGAAAAUCUUCUAAGUGAUAUCUCUGAUUCCGAUAUGGUGGCAAGUAACCUUCGCGAAUUGCAUAACCAGCAUCCACUAGAUAAUACCUCCUUGUACACAAACAAAUAAACUCAGAAAAACAUUUACUAGAGCGUAGUGAAGACAAUAUAUGCAAUGCCAACAUAACAUGCCACCAUACAUGCUGGUGAGUGUGGAUAAUUCGCUUCUCCCAUGCAAUCUCUGAGCACUACCAUGUCGUGACAAGAACCAGCCAACCUCCCGCCUACAAAAGUGAACCGCAUAUCCAUGUCCACUACCCCUAAUACAUUGUAGCUAGGCCACUCUUUUAUGUUUUUGUAGUCCAACCUCGACUCAUGACAUACGUGAGCUGGAAUGUGUGUACCAUCUAAGGCUCCUAUGCACCCGCCAAAGAAAGAGGCAUAAGGCAUGAGCUUGUUAUGCACUUUAGAAUACGCUGGAUCCUUUGGACAUAUAUUAGUUUGUGUAAAACCAUACAUAGCAUCUGCCACAUGAGCCAUUUUCCUACUAAUGGUAUCCAAAGACCUUUCGAACUUGUCUCUAAUUUGGCGUGACACCUGUUGUGUCCCACAAGCCCAUAAGAACAUCCCUAAUGCCUCACAUGACUCCACCUCUUGUGUUGAUCUUAACCAGUGAUACCUCACUAAAGUAUCAUGCAAUUCUAUAAAAGCAUUCGAAGUCAUACGAAAGUUGUCUUCACACUUCCUAAAGUCCCUCAAAUUAUGUUCCACCCAUUGUCGUCAUGUCAUGUGCGAUAAUGGAGGGGAGGAUUAAUCAUAGGAGCAGUAGUGCAUGAACGAGAAGCGAAAGCAGCUAGAACUGUGUUGCUGCACCCGCUUGCUAGAACAUGAUGGAGCUAUCAUCACUUGUCGUGUCGUUGUGGCCUGAGUCUUCUGCACUGCUCAUCUCAGAGUUGUCUACAUUUACAACAUUCAAUUACAUUCAAAUACACUUUAGCUACAUCACAUCAAUUGCAAUCCACAAACUAGAGUUCAAACUAAACUAAACUUUACUUCAGGGUUUAGAUCACCGAGUCGCUAGAUACCAGGUAUACAAUUCUAGGUCUUGUGCUAAUCCAAAUGGACCUACAAGUAUACAAAAAUAUGUAGUCAGAACAAAUCUUUCAAAACAGAAAUGCAAUACUUAACACAAAUGUUAUAAAACUGAAGUGCACAAGCACACAAAUCAAACUGAACUGCAAUAUUACUACACUGUAGGUAUGUUGAUUGAUUACAACAACAACACAAUGUCCGCAUACAUCAAAGUGUUAUUACAAGACCACACAGACAAGCUACUUCGAAAAAUGUCUCGCGACCUUUAUUUGUUAGCGCAAUUGAACCUAAUCCAACGGAGCCAUCCCUCUUUAGUUUGCAUAGAAAGGUAAGCCCUCCUAUUUAGGUCGUUGUUGCACAACAUAAGUCCCAUGCAGUACAAAUCAGAGUCUUCUCCAAGACCAUCUCGCUUUAAAAGUCGCACAACUUUGUCAAGUUCUUGUUGUGCCCGACGUAGAGUUCUUCGGUUUCUGAUGUAAAUGGACUCAGAAAUAUUAGCAAUAUGAUCUUCCAAACUCAUCUUUUUCUUAGGAGGGCUAUCCACUGCAUCUUCCCUGAUUGACCUUUUGGACGAUGAUAUAAUAUUAGAGCAACCUACAUGGUCGUUAGAUAAGUAUGGAGUAUCCUCGCUGCCAUAGUUGGGAGAGGGCUCAUGAACACCUCCAACACUAAUCAAGUUGCCCCUGUCGUGUGUGGCUCGGCUGAACAAAGUGUACAACUCAUCAAGAAAGGGUGGUUGUUUUCCUCGAUUGGCCUAUUGAGUACUAGGAUCCUGCGUUUGAACAUAGUGCAGAUUUAGUAUUGGUCCAUAGGACAAAUAAAUUGUAAUAAAUUAUUAGCUAGUUGAGCCAGCUAAUGAACUAAUUGUUAGCCAGAGGUAAUUAACAAUUAGCUGAUGUAUUAACUGGUAUUAGCUAAGGGUGUUUGGAACCCAUCAACUAAUUGUUAGUAGCUAACUAUUAGUUUUACAGGUUCCAAAUAGGACCAUAAGAGGGCUAUCCUUAAGAUUUCUAUUUGGCUGAGCUAACGAUAAACAUGGGUCUACUUAAUACAAUAAUAUGUCAUCAGGUCGUCGGGGCAUGCCCAUAAGACCACGAUCAACAACUCCUCCUUCACGCCUUGGCUCGAUAACUUCACCAAGUGAAACACAUGUUGUGCGACCUCUCCGCUAAUUUGUGAGCGGUACAGGUGGUGCACCACUGCAGAUAGUGUCCGAUGACCUAUAGCCUACCAAAAAUACCUGUUGACAAUUGAGGUGAUGUCCUAACACGUUCCACACCCAGUUUUAGAAGGUAAACCGAAUGCGAAACAUGUACAUGCCAGGAUCAGAAAUUCACGUAUACAACGAUUACAUAAAUGACUCAUCAUAGCACAAUGCUUCGAAUACAAUAAAGAGUAAGUAAUGAUAUUACAGACUAGAGUCAUUUACAUAAUAUAAAUCAAAGUGCACAUAAUAGAAACGUAGCCAACAUAAAUAAACCCACCACAGGCAGCUGACUGGGGGAUGUCGCUAGCCUAAUCCUCGAACUCAUCAAUGUAUUGGAACUCCUGGAGAUCUACCUCGACGCCUUCUUCUUCUUCUUCUUUACCUGAGCAUAGAUCGCACCAAAGGCAAGCUGUUGUUUUAUGAAAGCAAGGGUGAGUACACAUCAACGUACUCAGCAAAUGUCCCAUUUGGCUGAGGUGGACUAGCUUUAUGUGGAGUUAGGCUGAAAGAAGUUGCUUUUAGUUGGUCAGGUAUUUAUUAUUAGUAGAAGCCAAGUUUUAGCAAUAACCAACACGUAAACCAUUUCCUCUUCAAGGAACAUCAUCAUCAUCAUCGAAGCCAAAACCAUCAAUCGAACCAUUGUAUCUUGGAUCAUAUGUAUCUCUAAUCAAAGGAGCACCCAAGGCCGCUCAUAACCGUGAGCACGACUGAUAUAUCAGUUUCUAACCCUCUUCAGAGGUUGCACACUUUACCCACGAGCCGUGAUUCCCUCUCUAGCCCGGGCUUGCAAGACCCUUGUUCACUCCUGAGGUGAAUGGCCAGGGAUUCACUAUGAAGCCUUUACAAAGAUUCUCUAAGGUUGUAGCCGCCCGUUAGGUUUCCUAAAUGUACCACACUCCUCCUCAAGGGGCAAACCACCCUCGGUAGAGCGAGCCGCAUACACCGAGCCCCAUUGACGGCACAAUAGCGAAACAAACUACACCUCAGUUCCUCUAAUUAAUUAGCUAAGGGCGUCGCAUACCACCCUCAUGGUUGCACUGUUUUCUCAGGUGGUCAUUCAACGAACAGGUCCUUACGGAGAGGCACUCGAGAAACCGCCCGAGUCUCCUAAAGUAUCACCAGUCCAACAUCAUAAUCAAGAUAUCAUCAACGUAUCAUAAAUGUUCUCAUCAUGUUCAUUGAUUAAAGUAAAGCGGUAACAUAAUACUAAUCAUAGUAACCAAUUGCCAAAGGGUAAACAAGGACAGGAAAACAGAAUACUAGUCAAUCCUUAGGUUGUUCUUAGUAUGUAGGACAGUGAAUUAUAAAGUAAAUGGGACAUAAUGGAUCAGAGGACACUUGCCUUCACCAAACAGAUGCUCAUAAUCUUCAGCCUCAUAGAACUCGAAGAGUUUGAUCUCUUGGUCGCCGAAGCAUGACCGUCGAUUCCUUGAAGCUCGGAAAUGGAUCACAGUCUAUUCGCGACGCGCAACAGGCACAAGCAAACAUAUACUUGCAUAAGAACAUUACACCAUACAAGAUAAAAUAUUAUACAAGCGAGCAAUAUAAAAUAGAGAGCACUUCAACGGUUAGGCGAGGAAAAGAACCACGAUAGCUGAAGGUACGACCGAAGGGUUAGCGUGUUUAUACUAAGCAAGUAUUAAUUAGAAUAUUUAAUUUGACGUAACAAUAUUAAUCGCUAUUUAUGAUAUAUAAAUUAAAACUACUUAGUUUUGACUAACUUACUGUUUUAAUUGUGGAUAAUUCAAUAAAUAACUAAUUAACUUACAUGAGUAAUUAUAAGCGAACGAUUUAAUAUCGCGCUCGGAUAACGCGCGGUACGCGCGAACGGCGCGCGACACACGUGAACGGCACAUGACAACGCAUGCGAACAGUACGUGCGACACUCGCGAACGACACACGACGACGCGCGAAACAACACCGCGACACGUGCACGGUACGCGCACAACACGUGUAUUGUGCGCGGGCCGACACGAUACGCGAAAACUAAUAAACAAAUAAUAUGAAUAAACUAACCAAUUAUUUAAUAGAAUAGUUCAGUUAACAUUGACUGCGCUCAUGUUGAUUUAUAAAUGCGUAAUUCAAAAUUAUAAAUUAGAUUUAAAUAAAACGUCGUUCUAUUAACCUCCGGUCAAACAAAAGUUUAAAUAAAUUAAAUAAAAUGUGCAACAGUAGGGAAAAUACUUCUAACAUGUAGAUAAUUUUAAUACGAAUUUAACGCAAUUUGAGCAGAUUGAAUCGGGUUUAAAAUGCAAAAAUUAUCAUUGUUUUAAACUAGACUGUAAUUCACGCGUACUAAAUUACGAAAUUGUCAUCUUCUUCCUCACGUUCUUCUCUCUCACGGAGGAACCUCCAUGGAGGUUGAGCAGGGGGCUCGGCCGGGGGAGGGGACCUAGACCGCCGCCGCCAGGGGGUCGGCCUCGCUGCGCAGGGCGCGCGCCCAUGGGGGUGGGGGCGCUCUUGGCGUGAGGUCGCGUGGGGACCAGUGAGGGCCGCGCCCAACGGCCAACCGGUCGGCCACGUCGUGCGGCUGCACGCCGCCGCCGGGACCACGCGCGCCCGGGCCAGGGGCAGGGCGCCGUGCCACAGGGACAGGGGAACAAGGUGCUACUCUCCCAAACCAUAGAAAUCGAAGAAAACAGAGAAGAAGAAUGGAGGAGCUCACUGGGGAAGAAGACCCUCGUCGGAGCCGAGGGGAAAUCCUUCGAUUGAUAGAGAUUCAGAGGUCCGAUCAACAAACCGUACGCGCCCAGGCGAAGCCCUCGACGAGACGAACGCAGCGGUACCCUCAGAUUCCGCAGACGAUGCAUGGAUUGGGAGUAAUUGCUCGUUGGAGUUGUUGUCGGAGUUGGAACCGCUUCCGAACUUUGGCAAGCAAUUCCGGGAGCUGGGAGUUGAAUUUGGAGAAAUCGUUUCAUGCUCUGGAACGGGCUCGACGAGGAGAAGCCAAACAUAUAUAUAUAGUAUUUAGAGCCCUGGGCUCUAUUUAACUACAGGAAGCCCCGACCAGGUGCGCAGACCGCACCGGACCCUUUUUGGCUUAUUGUACCUAACUGUGCUUACGCUAAAUUAUAAUACGAGUUAUGUUGAUGUGUGUAUCAGUUUAUGCAAAUAUAGUCUGCGCAUAUUACGUGCAUCGGGCCCACGAUCCGGCCCAUGCGUUCACAAUUAUUCAGUCCCACGCCGACACUAUAAAAACACACCCACGCCGCCAGGGAUUAGGUUUUAGCGGCGGCGGCGGUUCCCUCGGGCGUGCGAGCGGCGGUGAUCCUGGGGGCCAGCAGUGGUGUCGCCUCGAGGCAGGCGACCGACGGCGGCGCUCCACCAGGAACGAGCAACAACGACGCUCCGAGGCAGGCGGGCAAGCGGUGACGGCGCUGUCGAAGCAGACGGGCGACGGCAGCGCACCCUAGGCUCGGCGACAACGACGGUUGUCCCGUCCGUCUCUGUGAUGGCCACCGCCGCUGCCGCUCAAGCAUCUGUGGCGCCGUCCCUUGCACCCAAGGCCAACGACAGCAGGAAGGCGGUGGUGCCCGUGGACGCGUCGGAGCUGGAGAAGCACGUGCUGGCGGUGGACGACAAAUCCGUGGACCGUGUCGCGAUCGCCAGGAUCCUGUGCGGCUCCAGGUAUAGGGUGACCGCCGUGGAGUCGGCGACGCGCGCGCUGGAGUUGCUCAUGAUGGGCCUGCUCCCCGACGUCAGCAUGAUCAUCACCGACUACUGGAUGCAUGGGAUGACCGGGUAUGAGCUGCUCAAGCGCGUCAAGGAGUCGGUGGCGCUCAGGGGCAUCUUCGCCGUCAUCAUGUCGUCUAUGACCAUCGUGAUUUAUACAUUUUCAAACAAAAUUUUAUGAUAGCUCUUAUUGCAUUUUACGCUUCCACUAAAAAGCAAGUCCCACAUUCGUCGUUACAAAACAGAUCAUUGAUUUACGCUAAAAUUCGUAUCCGUUUACGCUGUUUCGGAUCACGUUUUAUGCUUAAAUCCACCUGACCUAGAACCCGAGCAUGAUCGGAGCGCGAUUUUCACGUCGUAAUUUAGGCCACAUUCGUCGUUACGAAAUAGAUUGAUGAUGUACGAUAAAAUUUGUACCCAUUUACAAUGUUUGGUUCACGUUUUACGCUGAAAUUUGACCAAGCCAAAAUCCAUGCACGAUCGAACAUGAUCAAUUUUCACGCCGUAAUUUUCGGACCCCAUUCGCUGUUACGAAACAGGUUUAUAAUUUACGUAAAUUUCGUAUUCAUUUACGCUGUUUUAGCUCACGUUUUACGCCGGAAUCUGCCCUAGCCAGAACCUGCGCACAAUUGGGUGCACGCGAUUUUCACGCCGUAAUUUUGGGCUUCGUUUGCUGUUACAAAACAGAUAUAUGAUUUACGCUAAAUUUCGUACUUAUUUACGUUGUUUUAGCUCACGUUUUAUGCUGCAAUCCGCCCGAGCAGAACCCGUGAACUGCGACUGUAAAUUAAAAUUUAUUUCCUUCUACUAAUGCUCUCAAACCGUAACUGUCCCUUUAUUUACGCGAUUAUGCAGCACAUCUUUCCUUAUAUCAAACCGGUCAAGAUUUAUAUAAUGCAUGGUUUAUGCUAUCAUAUUACACAUCGUUAUGCAGUCGUAAACGGUUUAUUUACACAUCAUUAUGCAGUCAUUAACCGCCGCCAAUAUCACAGAUACGAACGUGGACGAGCGGCUGUAAAUGAGAAUUUGUUUCCUCCCGUAACUGUGCCUUUAUUUACAUGAACGUGGAGCACGUCUUUCCUUAUCUCAAACCGGUGGAUAUUUAAAUGUUGCAUGGUUUACACUAUCAUGUUACACAACGUUAUGCAGUCAUAAACGGUGUACACAUGGUAAUAUUCGUUCUCAUGAUUCGUGGCCCAAAAGAUUCCUUCUAUGCAUGAUUUAUGCACAUUUCUACAUAUAUUUAUACGUGUGUAUAUCGCAUGUCACGUCUCAUCCAGGAUUCAUGGCUAUCAUAUGCAUGGCUGACGCAUGCUCGCGUACAGUGGGCCGACCGCGACCUGGUUGUGUCGGGGACCAUAAUUAGGGGUACCCUCAAGACGCCUAAUUCUCAGCUGGUAACCCCCAUCAGCAUAAAGCUGCAGAGGCCUGAUGGGUGCGAUUAAGUCAGGGAUCAGUCCAUACGAGCGACUCGAUCACGCCUCGCCCGAGCCUAGCCUCGGACAAGGGCAGCCGACCCCGAGGGAUUCCCGUCUCGCCCGAGGCCCCCCUUUAACGGCGGACACAUCUCCGGCUCGCCCGAGGCCUUGCCUUCGCUAAGAAGCAACCCUGACUAAAUCGCCGCACCGACCGACCGAGUCGCAGGAGCAUUUAACGCAAAGGUGGCCUGACACCUUUAUCCUGACGCGCGCCCCCCGGCAGAGCCGAAGUGACCGCCGUCACUUCGCCGCUCCACUGACCGGUCAGACAGAAGGACAGCGCCGCCUGCGCCACUCCGACUGCAGUGCCACUUGACAGAGUGAGACUGACAGGCGGUCAGGCCCUGCCAAAGGCGCCAUAGGCAACUCCGCUCCGCCCGACCCAGGGCUUUGACUCGGGCUAGGCCCCGGAAGACGGCGAACUCCGCUCCGCCCGACCCAGGGCUCGGACUCGGGCUAGGCCCCGGAAGACGGCGAACUCCGCUCCGCCCGACCUAGGGCUCGGACUUGGGCUAGGCCCCGGAAGACGGCGAACUCCGCUCCGCCCGACCCAGGGCUCGGACUCGGGCUAGGCCCCGGAAGACGGCGAACUCCGCUCCGCCCGACCCAGGGCUCGGACUCGGGCUAGGCCCCAGAAGACGGCGAACUCCGCUCCGCCCGACCCAGGGCUCGGACUCGGGCUAGGCCCCGGAAGACGGCGAACUCCGCUCCGCCCGACCCAGGGCUCGGACUCGGGCUAGGCCCCGGAAGACGGCGAACUCCGCUCCGCCCGACCCAGGGCUCGGACUCGGGCUAGGCCCCGGAAGACGACGAACUCCGCUCCGCCCGACCCAGGGCUCAGACUCGGGCUCAGCCCCAGAAGACGACGAACUCCGCUCCGCCCGACCCAGGGCUCGGACUCGGGCUAAGCCCCAGAAGACGACGAACUCCGCUUCGCCCGAUCCCAGGGCUCGGACUCUGCCCUGGCCUCUGCCGAACGACCUCCGCCUCGCCCGACCCAGGGGCUCGGGCUCGGCCUUGGCCACGGAAGACAGACUCGACCUCGGCUUCGGAGGAACCUCCACGUCGCCCGACCUAGGGCACAGGCCCGCCACGUCAACAGGAAGCGCCAUCAUCACCCUACCCCGAGCCGACUCGGGUCGCAGAGAACAAGACCGGUGUCCCAUCUGGCUAGCUCCGCCAGAUGGGCAAUGAUGGCGCCCCGCAAGCCCUGUGACGACGGCGGCUCUCAGCUCCCUUACGGAAGCAGGGGGACGUCAGCAAGGACUCGACCGCUCCGACAGCUGUCCCUCCACCAGGCUCCGUUGCUCCUCCGACAGCCACGACAUCACACCAGCAGGGUGCCAAGAUCUCUCCGGCUGCCACAUUGGCAUGUACUUAGGGCGCUAGCUCUCCCUCCGCUAGACACGUAGCACUCUGCUACAUCCCCAUUGUACACCUGGAUCCUCUCCUUACGCCUAUAAAAGGAAGGACCGGGGCCUUCUUAGAGAAGGUUGGCCGCGCGGGGACGAGGACGGGACAUGCGCUCUCUUGGGGCCGCUCGCUUCCCUCACCCGCGUGGACGCUUGUAACCCCCCUACUGCAAGCGCACCCGACCUGGGCGCGGGACGAACACGAAGGCCGCGGGAUUUCCACCUCUCUCUCGACCGUCUCUGGCCACCUCGCUUUCCCCCCUUCGCGCUCGCCCACGCGCUCGACCCAUCUGGGCUGGGGCACACGGCACACUCACUUGUCGGCUUAAGGACCCCCCGGUCUCGAAACGCCGACAGUUGGCGCGCCAGGUAGGGGCCUGCUGCGUGCUGACGAACAGCUUCCCGUCAAGCUCCAGAUGGGCAGUCUCCAGCAACCUCUCCGGCCCGGGACGGUGCUCCGUUUCGGGAGUCUUGAGUUCAUGUCCUUCGACCGCGGCUACGACAUGAUACUCCUUCCACCGCCGCGCGACAACGACAAUGGCGGCGGACAACCCGCCCGCCGGCAGCGGAAUCAACGACAUCUUCCCCGCGUGGUGGAAGAACAACAUUCGAGCUCGCCCCGUCCUCUCCCCCGCCAACGGAGGAGAAGGCGGGGCAACCAAGGCCAAGUGGGAGGUCGCGCUUCGUCGACUGUCGAGCGAAUCGACGUCCCCAGCGCCCCAACGGAAGGCACGCCGGGCGUCGACCUCGCGUUCGAGACGAAGGCGAGCGCCGUCCCCCCGCGACACGCCAAUCCUGAGCAAGUGGACGACGCCAGCGCGCUCGCGGAGAGCUUGCAGGACGUCGCCCUCGUACCUGAGACGACGGUGCAACCAGUCCCCGACGUGACUAUGCCGCUCCUCGUCGACCAAAAGGUACCGACUGAUUCCCAUCUUACGUCAUUUCGACUCGGCCUCAACCCGCCUGGCGACCUUGCUUUGGCGGGCGCUCUCGUUGAGGCGAGUGCAACCCCACUGGGGUUUCGUAUGCGGUCGCCUUGGGACCGGUUGACGGACGUCUCGACCUACGGGCCCUCUGGGUCCGAGGAAGAUGACGAUCCCAGCAUCUGUUGGGAUUUCUCCGGAUUUGGCAACCCCAGUGCCAUGCGGGACUUUAUGACCGCAUGUGACUACUGCCUCUCCGACUGUUCCGACGGUAGCCGCAGCCUUGACGACGAGGACUGCGGCCCAAGCCGCGAAUGUUUCCACGUCGAGCUAGGGGAUCCCUCCGAAGGCAACCAUCUCGGCAUGCCGGAGGACGGUGAUCUCCCCAGGCCGGUGCCUCGCGCUGACAUCCCGCGGGAGCUAGCUCACUAGAAAAACGCCUAAAUCCGGAAGUAAUCAGAAAAAGAAAUUCCAUUCUGGGAAAAAAGAGCAAUAUCGUAUUCGUCUUCAAGAAAAACAGAAAUUGCGUUUUCAUUAUGGUCUGACAGAACGUCAAUUACUUAGAUAUGUACAUAUCGCUGGAAAAGCAAAAAGAUCCACAGGUCAGGUUUUACUACAAUUACUUGAAAUGCGUUUGGAUAAUAUCCUUUUUCGAUUGGGUAUGGCUUCAACCAUUCCUGGGGCCCGACAAUUAGUUAACCAUAGACAUAUUUUAGUUAAUGGUCGUAUAGUUGAUAUACCAAGCUUUCGUUGCAAACCCCGAGAUAUUAUUACUACGAAGGAUAACCAACGAUCAAAACGUUUGGUUCAAAAUUAUAUUGCUUCAUCCGAUCCGGGCAAAUUACCAAAGCAUUUGACGGUUGACACAUUGCAAUAUAAAGGACUAGUAAAAAAAAUUCUAGAUAGGAAGUGGGUCGGUCUCAAAAUAAAUGAGUUGUUAGUUGUAGAAUAUUAUUCUCGCCAGACUUGAACUUAACGUGGUUCCCGUUCCGGCGGGGGGUCACGACCCACAGCUCGAGCAAGUCCGCGGGGCG